UACGGAGGGUGCAAGCGUUGUCCGGAAUUACUGGGCGUAAAGGGCUCGUAGGCGGCCAACUAAGUCGGAUGUGAAAUCCCCAGGCUUAACCUGGGAACUGCAUCCGAUACUGGAUGGCUUGAAUCCGGGAGAGGGAUGCAGAAUUCCAGGUGUAGCGGUGAAAUGCGUAGAUAUCUGGAGGAAUACCGGUGGCGAAGGCGGCAUCCUGGACCGGCAUUGACGCUGAUGAGCGAAAGCUAGGGGAGCAAACGGG
rnacentral:rRNA from 1 species